GUAAUGAAAUUACGGGCCUGUUGCAGUUUCAUUCCACACUUUAUGUUACAUAUUUAUAUUACACGUUGCUCUUUAUAUUACAUGUAGGCCUUUAUAUAAUACAGAUGUCAUGAAAUUGCUUUACAAUAAAAGUAAAAGCAAAAUGGUAUUAAAAAGCAUAAUUGUCAACUGAAUGGGUCAUAGAACUACACAAUGAGUUUAAAUUCAUUAUAUAAAAUUAAUGAUAUUUUAAAUUGUUAAAUGUUAUAAUUCUAGAUGUUUAUUUAAAUGCUGCGUGCCUUUUGACGUGUUCUAUGGUUUCAAUAUGGGCGUACGUGCGCGAGUCGCAUUCAAAUCUGAUUCAAAGACAGGAGCGCGCGCGAGCAGAUGGAAACCAUGGAAACGAGGAAACCCAUCAACUGACAAACAGCAAACUAGCGUCUCUCACUGUUGUUUUCUCUGCUUUCAGAUCAUCAUAGAUGUCCUGCUGCACCCCCUGGGGUCCAAGACAAUCUCCACGGCUUCGACCUCGACUAUAGGGGUUAUGGCUGUGCUCUUGUUACCAGAUGAGAUAUCAUUUGAUCCUGUGAUUCUUCAGGACAAGAUCUUGAUGCCAUCCACACCCAGUACAUGACGAAGGUUUUCUGGGAUCCACAGUGGAAGGCAUCAAGGCGUGAGAUGUUGGCUGGACAGAUGUACCUGUACACCACACCGACCUCUGCUUUUACAUGGAUGGCGGAUUACUAUCAUGUUCUGUAAAGGUUUCAUUAUAGCAAAACAGAGCACCUGUGACAGUGGAAUCUGUAGGUGUAACGUAGUCAGUUAAAAGUAGUCAGGUGUAAAGUAGUCACAGAGAGAACGUUUUUUUUUUUUUAAGUUUCAAACUUUUUUCUCUUUCACAAAAAACACUGCAGUUACAGCUUUUCAAAUUCUUCAUUGGAGGUGUACAAAUAAUUUUCUUUUU